CGCACCCCAGGCAGCGCUCCCAGCUCCAGCCCCCAUGCCGCCUCCACCUCAGCCAUCGGCCAUCGCUCGGGCACCGCCAAGCCCCCCAGAGCCACAGCAGGCGGCUUUCCGGUUGACGCCUCAUGCUGUGCAGACACCACCGCAAACACCGGAGCCCAGAGGCGGUUUCUCCCCAGACGCAGACACUCCACUUCGGAAUGAAAGGCACUCCCGGCAGCAUCGACUUCCUGCAGAGAAAAUGGAGCCACCAGCUUCCCACGAUGGAAAGAUAACAUGCACCCCGGUGUUCACGGAAGCACUGUUUACCAGAGCCAAGACAUGGAAGCAGCGUAAAUGGCCAUCAGCAAGUGAAAAAGAUAUGGUGCGUAUAUACAGUGGGAUAUCACUCAGCCAAGAAGGAAACAACGCCAUCUGCAGCCACAUGGACGGAUCUGGAGGUGAUCACACUAAGCGAAGUCAGACAGGGGCAAAUGUCGUAUGCUGGCACUGGUAUGUAGAGUCUAAAAUGGACACAACCGAGCCUGUCUAUGAAACAGACUCACAGAGAACAGACUUGGGUUGCCAAGGGGGAGAUGGGUGGGAGAGGCGGGGAGUGGGAGUUUGGGGUUAGCAGAUGCAAGCAAGUAUAUACAGAAUGGAUGAACAGCAAGGUCUUACUGUACAGCACAGGGAACUCAACAUCCUGUGAUAAACCAUUAUGGAAAAGAAUAUGAAAAAGAAUGUGUGUGUGUGUGUCUAUAACUGAAUCAGUCUGCGAUACAGCAGGAAUUAACGCAAUAUUGUAAAUCACCUGUACUUUAAAAACAGGAGGACAAGGCUGGACAUGAAGGUCCCCGGGGCUUGCUCCCAGGUACCCAGCAAAGCCCGCUCCAUUCUCUCUGGCCUCUGAAACCUGGCACACCAGGUUGUGAAUAUUCUUAAGUCCACAGUUAUGGUGACUGCUGAAGUGACCGGAGCAGAUUCUUCUUCGCCUGAAUUCAGCCAGGUUUAUGUAUGUACAGAAUUUACAGGAUAGGCAUGUUUCCAUUGGGAAAUACUUCCCCUGUGUGAUACUGCAAAACAAGGUAUAUAAAGCUGCGCCGCAGGAACUCAAAACUGAACGUACUUAAGGAAACCAACCUGAGCCAUACAACUUCCAGUUGACUCUCGGAUACGUCAAAGGAACAUCUCUGAAAGAUCUUAGAGAGGAAUAUUAAACUAAAUUUCUUUGGUGUGUUAAAUUACUUAGGAAGUAUUGUCAAGUAACUGAAGAUGAACCUUAGGUUAUAGUGCAUGGAUAAAUGUCAUUAAUAUAUUCCAAAAUUUAUAUGGAAUCCCUACUCUCUGAUAUGUCCUGAUAUAAUGUUAUUAAUCAUAAUUCUAGUUAUUAUCCUAAAAUGUUAUAUCACAAAAAUAUCCAAGUUUCCUGCUAAUUGCAUUGUACUUAAAUCUUUAACCAUAGUAUUUUAAGCUUUGUCCUUUAUAGACAAUAAUUAUUUUACACUGAUGCUUUUACAAAAUGAAGAUUUUCAAGAAGACUCAUGAAAAUAACUUUUUAAACAAAAAUUUCUGAUAGCUUUAGAUGCCACUGAACUGGGUAACAAGUGACAAAACUAAUGGAAUAUCUGAUUCCUUCACUCAGAUGAACAGGAAUUGAUUACAUAGGACUGAAUGGUGAAUAGAAUUUCUAACUAUGACUUUUGUCAACGGUACUAGCUGUAUUACUUGUAUCUUUUUUAUAAUACCGUGUCUAUUUUGUGAGAUUGUCUUUUACAGUACCCAGUGUAUAACCGGGCCUCCACCAAAAUUGAUGAUGGCUGAACAGCUUGAGGAAAUUGAUCAUAUUUAUGACUCUCAUAAAAUAACUGUAACAGUGUGAUUCUAGGUGUGGGAAUAGGCAGCAAGGAAGAACAUUUCCUGGAUGCUGAUAAGACAGAGGGUCCAGAGAACCUUUCAUCAUCAACAGGGCCUAAUCUGGAACUUUGCACCUGGAGUGGCAUGCCAGCAGAAACUUCUGCCUGAUCUGGGAUGAGCCUCCCUGUGCCCAGGGAUAAUAAUUGGUCAUGAAAUGUCUCCCGAUAUUGGUCAAAUUCUGGUUCAAGAGAAGGAUCUAAGAGAAUAUUUCCGGCCAUAUCAGUAAACAAGGAUGUCACAGUCAUCAGCGACUCCAGCCCUGCAACAUGAGCCUGAGACACUCAGGAAAGACAAGAAGACCUGCCAUCUAGCAGCCGGCCAUCAGCCACUCCCUGCGGUGAGCCCUGGCCCCAGAUAGGAGAGGUACACAUCAAAGGAAUGAUUUCCGUGAGCCCCGAACUUCUUGCAUCUUCCCAUACAGAGCAAAGAGCUAAAUUCCUGAUCUCGAGAUAUCUGGUUUUCUUAAAUUAACAAACAUCUUGUUCUGACUACUUGUCCUUUGUUGAAAAAUUCUAUAUGAUAUAGCUCCCCCUCAUCGCCUCUCAGGGUUACUUUAGAUGCUGUCUCCUGGGCUUGAAAUCCUAAAAAUUCCCGCCAAAUAAAACAUAACUCUCAACUUUAAGGUUGUGAAUAUUUUUUUUAAGUCCACACUGUAGUUGAAUAAUAAUUUUUCUUAAACCUACUUUUUUGAAUUUUUAAAGUAAAUCUCCUGGUGUUCCACGCUGUGGAAACCUGACCCUUCCCUUCCUCACCUGAACAAACAUCCCCAGAACAUCCUUUUAUCCCUCACAGCAGGGACACUGGAACGUAAAAGUUUCCACCCACUUAAAGGCUUAGAUGUUCAUUUCUUAGUGACUGAAUUAUUAACAGAGUACAAGGCACAUUUUCAGGGCUUUAGAUGCCUUUCAUCAGAGCUCACAACAAGCCCAUUUAUGAAGAAGAACCACAGGCAAGGAGAGGUUAAGAAACCUUCCCCCAGACCCACACGCAGACCUACCUUUGAUUGGCCACCUCUGUAAUGAAAACCUAGGAGCAGGAAAGUCAGCUAUGCCAGCUCAGCACCCGGGGUCGGUCUGAGUAAUCAGAAGCCCUUUAGGAUUUGGCAGCUAACUUGGGGAAACUCUUGACUCUAAAACAUAACACCAUAAAGAUGAACACUGGACAGUCAUUUCAUUUGAACUUGAAAAAUUUUGUUAUUUACCUUGAAGCGGGUUUCUUUUUUGAUGGUGAAGGGAGGGGAGAUUUUCGUUUGCAGUCAUCACUAGACGUUUACUUAGGUCCCACGGGUGGUUUAUGCAUUCCUUGUGUAAGCCACAGCCAAGGACAUUCAGCCCUUUGUUGAAAAUGAUACUCCAGGGAAGUGGCUUUUCCUCACUAUAUACACAUACAUUAAUAGUAAUGUAUUCACUGUGCUGCCACAAAGCAAGAAUUCCCAUGUUCAUAUCUUACCUACAGCAGUGAGGCUGCAGGGAAAACUGUAUACACAGAUGUUGCUGAAAUUUUCGGAAGGGUUCAGGGCCUCACAGAGGUGAAGUGGAAGGUUUUCACCAUAGAGAUGGCUGAUGGGUUUUUAAAGAGAAGAGAGGCAAUAAACAUUCAUUCCCUCAUUCGCUCUGUCCCCUAAACUCAAAGAGUUUGAAAUUGCUGUUUUCGUAACAGCAUUGUUUACAAGUAGCAAGGACGCGAAACAACCUAAAUGUCCAUCAACAGAGGAAUGGAGAAAGAUGUGGUGCGCACAAACAAGGGCAGAUGACGCAGCCGUGACAAUGAACAAAUGCCAUUUGCAGCAACGUGGAUGAACCGAAAGACAGAUACAUACUAUCACUUAUAUGUGGAGUCUUUUUUUUUUAAGGGAUAUACAUGAACUUACAAAACAGAAGUAAAGUCAUGGAUAUAGAAAACAAACUUACGGUUACCAGGGGGUAAGUGCAGGAGGGAUGAACUGGGAGGCUGGGACUGACGUAUAUACCAAGUGACGUCGCUCAGUCGUGUCUGACUCUUUGUGACCCCAUGGACUGUAGCCUGCCAUGCUCCUCGGAGAUCCAUGGGAUUUUCCAGGCAAGAGUACUGGAGUGGGGUGCCAUUUCCUUCUCCAGAGGAUCUUCCCAACCCAGGGAUCGAACCCAGGUCUCCUGCAUUGUAGGCAGACGCUUUACCAUCUGAGCCACAAGGGAAGUCCUGACAUAUACACACUACCAUACAAAAAACAGGUAAUCUACUGUAGAGCACGGGGAACUCUACUCAAUUCUCUGUAAUGACCUAUCUGGGAAAAGAAUCCAAAGAGUGAAUAUAUGUAUAACUGAUGUGCUUUGCUGUACAGCAGAAACCUACUGUAAAUCAACUAUACUCCAAUAAAGAUUAUUUUUUUAAAAAAGGCAUAGCAGAAAAGAGUUUUGGUAGAAAAAUGGAUCAAAAUAAGUAAGAAAGCCUAAUUCUCUCCAGCUUCUGGUAUACUGGGGCACUCUGGGGGACCAGGAGCAUUGCUUCUGAUUUCUAAUGGGUAACACAGAGUCCAGAAGCAAGGAGAGCUAAGGAAGGUGAAAGCUGGGAGCUGCUUCAGGUCUGGGAUGCUCUGCCAUCUUAGCAGAGCAGCUGGGCACCUCCUAGCAGCCCAUCAGUCACUUCGCAGGUGAGUGAAAUCGGGGGUUGGGGUGGACACUGAGAGGAGCAGAGGGGCUGCUGUCACGGCUUUGAGGGGGCACCUGUGACUGUGGAAAUACCUCCACCUGGCCUUGUCUCAUUGCAACUCCAGUUUCCAAUUGACGAAGCAGAGGCCCAGACAGGUCAAGUAACCUGGCUUAGGCCACACAGCAUGGAGCUCAGUUUCCAGAGCCACAGGCCUCUAUGCUCCAGAACCAACACAGUGACCCCACUCCCCUGCUGCUAUUGACUGCAUCCUGGGCUUUGGAUGGUGUCAUCUCACUGAGGCUCGGAGCCUCUCUGGGAAGGGAAGCAGUGUCGUCCUCCCCAUCUCUCAGGUGAGGGACCGGCUCAGAAAGGCUGAGACACUUGCUCAAGGCCUCACAGCUGGUGAGAGGGUGUCAGGCCCCCAAAUGUCUGCUGCCAUCCCUGCUGAGGGGCUUCAUCCUUCCUUCCUGGGCAGCGCCCCGCCCCACACACACCUGCUAGCAGCCUACCGCUAUGUGACCGAGUGCCUUCAAGACUUCUUACCUGUCUUCUGCUUGAAACUCUGGAGCUCGGGCAGAGAAAGCACUGGAAAUGAGGGGGGAAAGCCAUGCCCUCCUGGAGUGAACCUCCAAGGCUGUUCCCUUGAGGCCUGACUUAAGUGGAGGAAGAGGGGUAUGUGGGUGUGUGACUUUACAACUGUGAAAUGCAAUCCAUUCACUUUUUUUUUUUUUUUACCAUUUCUUUUUGUACAGUGCUUCCAGGAAUGCCCCUCAGUGUUUAGAGCCACAGAACAAAACAGGAGGGAAAAAGAACACUGUUGCAGGACCAAAUCACUCAAGAAUCAAAAGGAGCAGACACAUGACAGGCUGCGGAAGCCCCCUAGCAUUCUGCCCCUAGAGACAACCACUUCUUUAGAAGUAAUUUGAAUAUUUUCUUAUGGUUACAAAAGCCACACACAUUAAAAGAUGCAGCAAAAUGAAAGUAGACGCUUCCCUGUCCAGCUUCCUUGGUGGGCACAGGGGCCGAGACCACAGCCACUGGUGCAGCUCACUACCUGGAAGGUUGCCAGCCCCCACCCUUGACCCUCUUGCUGUCUGACUCCAUGAACUGAAGAGGCAAAGGCUGACCUGCAGUCCUUUUGAAACACCAGUCAGGUCACAGGGCUCUGGCCUCCACCGCCCGUGGCCACGUGGGAUCCACCCCUCGUCUGCUGUUCCAGACUGUCUCCCCCUAAGGCCUGCACAUGCCUUCCCCUCGGGUGUCACCACGGCCCUCCUCCCCCCAGUGACAGCCCCCUGACCGUCCAGUGGACCGCAUGCUGCCACCUGCAGCGCACCCCUCCCUCCCAUCUCUGGACUGUGCCCUGUCUUGUCAUCGCACACAGCACAAAUCACCUUUAGACUUACGUGAUUUACCUGUGAUCUGAUCUUCCUCCAGACCCAAGGGCUGGCGUAACUGACUCCUGUGAUCACUGAUGUAUCCAUCAGCACUUGGCAUACAGUCGGGGUCAAUACAUGUUUGUUGAAAGAGAGACCAUGGACCCUAUCUUUGUAAACAGACCCUUUUCAGCCCAGCUUCGCCAGCCCUUCCUGCAUGUGUAUGGUUACGGGGGGUAGCCUCCUCUAAGGUGUGUUCACAUCACUCAAGCUCUGGGAAGCUGAAAGCUCAGAUAUGGACAGGAAAGCCCACAGGUGAGGGCUCUUGUCCCAGAGAAGAAGGCCUUCCCUGGGGCACUGUAACCAGAGGCCCUCAGAAACAAGCCCAGGCAUUUGGGAGGCAUUCAUCCUUGUGGAGCUGAAGGACACACAAAACAGCUUCUAGGCCGCCUUCCCUGAGCUUUGGACUAGGUCAGGAUCCUCGUUACUCACAAGGCACACUGUACUUCAAAACAAUUCAGCAAAGAAUUAACUAUGACUUUGCCAUAUCCUGUUUCUCCAUUAGACAAUAAGCUUCAGAAAUCCAGGACUUGGCACAUAGUAGGUAUUUUGAGGGACAGCUGACGCACUUGCCCAUGCAGUGCCCUGCUUUGCUCUGGCUGGGGGGCAUGCUUACUGUGUUUCUGAUCCUUCAGGAGACAUUCAGUGCCCCUCUCCUCCCAGAGUCACCAAACAAAUUGAGACACUAAUGCCAAACAGAAAGUGUCUUGGUGAAGACACCCCUUUAUCCAUGGAAUCAGUGUGGUGUGCUAGGAGUGACUUAGGACCUAAAGGAAAGACCUAAACUUUGUUACUUGCAGCUAACAGCAUUCAUAACCUGCCUAACCAGAGCUGUUAUAUCAGAAUUACCACCCUUAACACGAAGCCUGAAGGUGAAUCCAGGAGGAUGAAAUAAUUCAACGAUGCCAUCGAAAGCCCAGGCUAUAGGAGCCCCUCUGCUUUAUCACCCUUAUCACUUGACGGUCACAAGAGGGCUGCUGCUGUUCAAGGCAUUACCUCCAGCUUCUGGGAAGAGGAAAAGGGAAGUAGAAGAGCCAAUACUAUCCCCUUCCUUUUAUCAAGAGACAUACCCUCUCUAGAAACCUCCACCAUCACCCAGAAGACUUCUACUUACAUCUCAAAGGCCAGAAUAUCAGCUGGCCCCCCUACCCACCCUAGAAAGAUGAGAAUUCAGAUAAAGAGUGGGAAAGCUGAGACAGCAAGGGGGAAGUGAGUCAGUAAUAGCUAUAGAGUUAGCCAGCCAGAAGUAUCUGUCAAAACUAUGUAAAUUAUUUUAAUAGAACUGUUUCUGUGGGUUUUCUUAUAAUAAAAGCAAUGAAUAUAUAUUACUUUAGAAAAUAAAGAUUUUAAAACAUCUCUCCAAUCCCAUCAUACGGAAGUAAUCACUGUGUAUUCCAUUAUUGUUAACCUUUGUUGUUAUCCUUUCAGAUCUUUAUUUUAAUGAAUGAAAUCAUACUAUGUGUUGCU
ensembl:lncRNA